UUCAUCUUUAAUUAGUUUGAGGUGUACUGUGGCAUACCUUGGUCUCCAAGUAAAAGAUUUUCCUUUUUCAAAAUCAGAUGAAUUCUGAGUUGACAAGGAUAACAAACUUGCAGAAAAAUGCCCAAGUCCUAGGUGGAGAGGCCCAUAUAAACAUCAUCUUCAUCCAGGGGUCAUACAUACCCUUUCUAACCUGCUACCUAUAUUUCCUGCCCCACGAGGACCAGAAGCCUACCUUCCAGCACUAUUCCUCCGUUUCCCGUGAUGCUAUGCCAAAGUGCAGUGGCAUCAGGGCACCUACUAAGCUGUGUGACACAGCAAACUGCUUAAACUCUUGCUGGCUUCAAUUCUCAUCUUUGCAAAACAGGAGGUUGAACUUUUAAGAAUUUUUUUUCCAUCUCAACAUUUAACGAUUCUUCUAAAGGACACUCUGUUUAUCUAGGUCAACAUUAAAAUAAUCUGCAACUUACUGAGCUCCUUUGCCACUCAAUGUUUUACAAUGGAAGUGCUCUGAAUUUUGGAUUUGUUUUUCCAGAUUUGAGAUGGUCAACUAAAAGUCUGUCGACUCCCUCUUUCCUUUCUUCGUAUGUAAACCGGCACAGUGUUUUAUUCCUACAGAGGAGGCUUUGACCAUCAAUUAGAAGGAGAACGGAAAAGGGAAAAUGUGAGUACAGAAAGUGGCACUGAUUUCCAUCAGAAAAAAGAUUCUACAAAGCUCGGGAGGAAAGUCACGCCACAGCUUAAUCUGGUCCUGGGUGGGUCUGGUGUUAAAUUUAAAUACUGCCUUGAAGUAAGACAGUAG